CAGCAUUACACAUGGAUAUUAACUGGCACUGGACCCCAUCAGUGAGCCAGGGUUAUUGCUGGAGCUUGGUGCCAGCACUACAAAUCCACUGCUCUUGCCAAAGAUUUCUUUCCCCCCCAUUGGAUAGGAUAUCGAGAAAUUAAGAGGAGGAAGACAAAGAGGGGGAGAGAAAGAUUGCCACCUGCAGACCUGCUUCACCACUUGUGAAGUGACCCUUGCCUUACAGAGUCCUGCUCAGCUCUGGCAUCAGGUGGUGCUAGGGACUGAACUUGGAACUUUGGAGCCUCAG